CAAGCGUGUAGGACGUGGUAUUGGUUCUGGUUUAGGUAAAACCGGUGGUCGUGGUCACAAAGGUCAGAAGUCUCGUUCUGGCGGUAGUGUUCGUCCA
rnacentral:tRNA from 1 species